AAUGAACGCUGGCGGCAGGCCUAAGACAUGCAAGUCGAACGCCUGUAGCAAUACAGGAGUGGCGCACGGGUGCGUAACACGUGGGAAUAUGCCUAUUGGUACGGAACAGCUCCGGGAAACUGGAAUUAAUACCGUAUGGUCCCUUCGGGGUAAAGAUUUAUCGCCAAUAGAUUAGCCCGCGGUGGAUUAGCUAGUUGGUAGGGUAAUGGCCUACCAAGGCGACGAUCCAUAGCUGGUCUGAGAGGACGAUCAGCCACACUGGGACUGAGACACGGCCCAGACUCCUACGGGAGGCAGCAGUUAGGAAUAUUGGACAAUGGGCGCAAGCCUGAUCCAGCCAUGCCGCGUGAGUGAUGAAGGCCUUCGGGUUGUAAAACUCUUUAGCCGAUGAAUAUAAUGACUGUAGUCGGAAAAUAAGCCCCGGCUAACUUCGUGCCAGCAGCCGCAGUAA
rnacentral:rRNA from 1 species